rnacentral:rRNA from 1 species
AUUGAACGCUGGCGGCAUGCCUUACACAUGCAAGUCGAACGGCAGCACGGGUGCUUGCACCUGGUGGCGAGUGGCGAACGGGUGAGUAAUACAUCGGAACAUGUCCUGUAGUGGGGGAUAGCCCGGCGAAAGCCGGAUUAAUACCGCAUACGAUCCACGGAUGAAAGCGGGGGACCUUCGGGCCUCGCGCUAUAGGGUUGGCCGAUGGCUGAUUAGCUAGUUGGUGGGGUAAAGGCCUACCAAGGCGACGAUCAGUAGCUGGUCUGAGAGGACGACCAGCAACACUGGGCCUGGGCCGCGGCCCAGGCUCCUACGGGGGGCCGGAGGGGGGAAUUUAGGGCAUAGGGGGAAGGCCUGUUCCAGCAACGCCGUGUGUGUGAAGAAGAUUUCGGGGUGGUAAAGCUCUUUUUUCAGGAAAUAAACCCUUCACCUUAAUACAGUGGGGGUGUGGGGUUCCCGGAAGGAUCAGCCCCGGCCAAUUACGU